rnacentral:rRNA from 1 species
UACGAAGGGGGGCUAGCGUUGCUCGGAAUUACUGGGCGUAAAGGGCGCGUAGGCGGCACUGUUAAGUCAGGCGUGAAAGUCCUGGGCUCAACCUGGGAACUGCGCUUGAUACGGCAGAGCUAGAGGAUGGAAGAGGGUCGCGGAAUUCCCAGUGUAGAGGUGAAAUUCGUAGAUAUUGGGAAGAACACCGGUGGCGAAGGCGGCGACCUGGUCCAUUACUGACGCUGAGGCGCGAACAGCGGUGGGGAGCAAACAGG